UACGGGGGGAGCAAGCGUUGUUCGGAUUUACUGGGCGUAAAGCGUGCGUAGGCGGCGUGUUAAGUGUGAUGUUAAAUCGUGUGGCUCAACCAUAUCGAUGCAUCACAUACUGGCAUGCUAGAGGAAGGCAGAGGCAAGUGGAAUUGGUAGUGUAGCAGUGAAAUGCGUAGAUAUUACCAGGAACACCAAUGGCGAAGGCAGCUUGCUGGGCCUUUUCUGACGCUGAGGUACGAAAGCGUGGGGAGCGAACAGG
rnacentral:rRNA from 1 species